rnacentral:rRNA from 1 species
AGGGUAUAGACCCGAAACCCGGUGAUCUAGCCAUGGGCAGGUUGAAGGUUGGGUAACACUAACUGGAGGACCGAACCGACUAAUGUUGAAAAAUUAGCGGAUGACUUGUGGCUGGGGGUGAAAGGCCAAUCAAACCGGGAGAUAGCUGGUUCUCCCCGAAAGCUAUUUAGGUAGCGCCUCGUGAACUCAUCUCCGGGGGUAGAGCACUGUUUCGGCAAGGGGGUCAUCCCGACUUACCAACCCGAUGCAAACUGCGAAUACCGGAGAAUGUUAUCACGGGAGACACACGGCGGGUGCUAACGUCCGUCGUGAAGAGGGAAACAACCCAGACCGCCAGCUAAGGUCCCAAAGUCAUGGUUAAGUGGGAAACGAUGUGGGAAGGCCCAGACAGCCAGGAUGUUGGCUUAGAAGCAGCCAUCAUUUAAAGAAAGCGUAAUAGCUCACUGGUCGAGUCGGCCUGCGCGGAAGAUGUAACGGGGCUAAACCAUGCACCGAAGCUGCGGCAGCGACGCUUAUGCGUUGUUGGGUA